CAGUAGCCGCGGGAACACAGAGGGUGCGAGCGUUAAUCGGAUUUACUGGGCGUAAAGCGUGCGUAGGCGGCUUCUUAAGUCGGAUGUGAAAUCCCUGAGCUUAACUUAGGAAUUGCAUUCGAUACUGGGAAGCUAGAGUAUGGGAGAGGAUGGUAGAAUUCCAGGUGUAGCGGUGAAAUGCGUAGAGAUCUGGAGGAAUACCGAUGGCGAAGGCAGCCAUCUGGCCUAAUACUGACGCUGAGGUACGAAAGCAUGGGGAGCAAACAGGAUUAGAUACCCGCGUAGUCCCUGUCUCUUAUAC
rnacentral:rRNA from 1 species